AGGUCAGUGGCUAUUCCGUCCGCCUGAAAAGCGGAAGGUCGCCGGUUCGAUCCCGGCCCUGGCCA
rnacentral:tRNA from 1 species